UACGAAGGGGGGCUAGCGUUGCUCGGAAUGACUGGGCGUAAAGGGCGCGUAGGCGGUUUGUACAGUCAGGUGUGAAAUUCCCGGGCUCAACCUGGGGGCUGCACUUGAUACGUAUGGACUGGAGUGGGGAAGAGGGUCGUGGAAUUCCCAGUGUAGAGGUGAAAUUCGUAGAUAUUGGGAAGAACACUGGUGGCGAAGGCGGCGACCUGGUCCUUGACUGACGCUGAGGCGGCGAAAAGCGUGGGGAGCAAACAGG
rnacentral:rRNA from 1 species